rnacentral:rRNA from 1 species
UAGAGUUUGAUCCUGGCUCAGGAUGAACGCUAGCUACAGGCUUAACACAUGCAAGUCGAGGGGCAUCAGGAAGAAAGCUUGCUUUCUUUGCUGGCGACCGGCGCACGGGUGAGUAACACGUAUCCCAACUGCCCUUUACUCGGGGAUAGCCUUUCGAAAGAAAGAUUAAUACCCGAUAGCAUAAUGAUUCCGCAUGGUUUCAUUAUUAAAGGAUUCCGGUAAAGGAUGGGGAUGCGUUCCAUUAGGUUGUUGGUGAGGUAACGGCCCACCAAGCCUUCGAUGGAUAGGGGUUCUGAGAGGAAGGUCCCCCACAUUGGAACUGAGACACGGUCCAAACUCCUACGGGAGGCAGCAGUGAGGAAUAUUGGUCAAUGGGCGCUAGCCUGAACCAGCCAAGUAGCGUGAAGGAUGAAGGCUCUAUGGGUCGUAAACUUCUUUUAUAUAAGAAUAAAGUGCAGUAUGUAUACUGUUUUGUAUGUAUUAUAUGAAUAAGGAUCGGCUAACUCCGUGCCAGCAGCCGCGGUAAUACGGAGGAUCCGAGCGUUAUCCGGAUUUAUUGGGUUUAAAGGGAGCGUAGGUGGACUGGUAAGUCAGUUGUGAAAGUUUGCGGCUCAACCGUAAAAUUGCAGUUGAUACUGUCAGUCUUGAGUACAGUAGAGGUGGGCGGAAUUCGUGGUGUAGCGGUGAAAUGCUUAGAUAUCACGAAGAACUCCGAUUGCGUAGGCAGCUCACUGGACUGCAACUGACACUGAUACUCGAAAGUGUGGGUAUCAAACAGGAUUAGAUACCCUGGUAGUCCACACAGUAAACGAUGAAUACUCGCUGUUUGCGAUAUACAGUAAGCGGCCAAGCGAAAGCAUUAAGUAUUCCACCUGGGGAGUACGCCGGCAACGGUGAAACU